rnacentral:tRNA from 1 species
CAAGUGGUAGCUUAAUUGGUAAAGCACUCGUCUAGCAUGCAAGAGUCGUGGAAUCGAAUCCUACAUGA